AGUGAACGCUGGCGGUGGGCCUAAUACAUGCAAGUCGAACGAACAGACAGUGAGCGUUCUCCUUUGACGGUAGCGGCUGACGGAUGGGUAACGCAUGGAUAGCCUACCUCUUAUUCGUGGGGGACUUCGUAAAGCCAGAUCUAAUAAUACAUAAUAUAUUGUACGGGUUAACGCAAGAGUGAUAGACAGUUUUGCUGUUUCUUUGAGACGAUGUCGGGCCACAUUAGCUGCUGGGUAAAGUCCCACCUAGCCAACGCACCGUUGCUGAUCUGAGAGGAUGAUCAGCCACACUGGAACUUAGACACGGUCCAGACUCCUACGGGAGGCAUCAGUGGGGAAUAUUGGACAAUGGGCGCAAGCCUGAUCCAGCCAUACCGCGGGGGUGAAGAAGGCCUUCGGGUUGUAAAGCCCUUUUGUUGGGAAAGAAAAGCAGCAGGUUAAUACCCCGCUGUUCUGACGGUACCCAAAGAAUAAGCACCGGCUAACUUCGUG
rnacentral:rRNA from 1 species